rnacentral:rRNA from 1 species
GAGUUUGAUCGUGGCUCAGAUUGAACGCUGGCGGCAGGCCUAACACAUGCAAGUCGAACGGUAACAGGAAACAGCUUGCUGUUUCGCUGACGAGUGGCGGACGGGUGAGUAAUGUCUGGGAAACUGCCUGAUGGAGGGGAUAACUACUGGAAACGGUAGCUAAUACCGCAUAACGUCGCAAGACCAAAGAGGGGGACCUUCGGGCCGUCUUGCCAUCGGAUGUGCCCACGAUGGGAGUUAGCUAGUAGGUGGGGUAACGGCGUCACCUAGGCGACGAUCCCUAGCUGGUCUGAGAGGA